rnacentral:rRNA from 1 species
CGGACGGGUGAGUAACGCGUGAGAAUCUGGCUUCAGGUCUGGGACAACCACUGGAAACGGUGGCUAAUACCGGAUGUGCCGAGAGGUGAAAGGUUAACUGCCUGAAGAUGAGCUCGCGUCUGAUUAGCUAGUUGGAAGUGUAAUGGACUCCCAAGGCGACGAUCAGUAGCUGGUCUGAGAGGACGAUCAGCCACACUGGGACUGAGACACGGCCCAGACUCCUACGGGAGGCAGCAGUGGGGAAUUUUCCGCAAUGGGCGAAAGCCUGACGGAGCAAUACCGCGUGAGGGAGGAAGGCUCUUGGGUCGCAAACCUCUUUUCUCAGGGAAGAACACAAUGACGGUACCUGAGGAAUAAGCAUCGGCUAACUCCGUGCCAGCAGCCGCGGUAAUACGGAGGAUGCAAGCGUUAUCCGGAAUGAUUGGGCGUAAAGCGUCCGCAGGUGGCAAUGUAAGUCUGCUGUUAAAGAGUCUAGCUCAACUAGAUAAGAGCAGUGGAAACUACAUAGCUAGAGUACGUUCGGGGCAGAGGGAAUUCCUGGUGUAGCGGUGAAAUGCGUAGAGAUCAGGAAGAACACCAGUGGCGAAGGCGCUCUGCUAGGCCGUAACUGACACUGAGGGACGAAAGCUAGGGGAGCGAAUGGGAUUAGAUACCCCAGUAGUC